rnacentral:rRNA from 1 species
GAUGAACGCUAGCUACAGGCUUAACACAUGCAAGUCGAGGGGCAGCAUGGUCUUAGCUUGCUAAGGCCGAUGGCGACCGGCGCACGGGUGAGUAACACGUAUCCAACCUGCCGUCUACUCUUAGACAGCCUUCUGAAAGGAAGAUUAAUACAAGAUGGCAUCAUGAGUCCGCAUGUUCACAUGAUUAAAGGUAUUCCGGUAGACGAUGGGGAUGCGUUCCAUUAGAUAGUAGGCGGGGUAACGGCCCACCUAGUCUUCGAUGGAUAGGGGUUCUGAGAGGAAGGUCCCCCACAUUGGAACUGAGACACGGUCCAAACUCCUACGGGAGGCAGCAGUGAGGAAUAUUGGUCAAUGGGCGCAGGCCUGAACCAGCCAAGUAGCGUGAAGGAUGACUGCCCUAUGGGUUGUAAACUUCUUUUAUAAAGGAAUAAAGUCGGGUAUGUAUACCCGUUUGCAUGUACUUUAUGAAUAAGGAUCGGCUAACUCCGUG